rnacentral:rRNA from 1 species
GUGGCACUGAUGCUUAUUGCACCACAUGUGUUUUUCUUUGAAACAAACUUGCUUUGGCGGUGGGCCCAGCCUGCCGCCAGAGGUCUAAACUUACAACCAAUUUUUUAUCAACUUGUCACACCAGAUUAUUACUAAUAGUCAAAACUUUCAACAACGGAUCUCUUGGUUCUCGCAUCGAUGAAGAACGCAGCGAAAUGCGAUACGUAAUAUGAAUUGCAGAUAUUCGUGAAUCAUCGAAUCUUUGAACGCACAUUGCGCCCUCUGGUAUUCCGGAGGGCAUGCCUGUUUGAGCGUCGUUUCUCCCUCAAACCGCUGGGUUUGGUGUUGAGCAAUACGACUUGGGUUUGCUUGAAAGACGGUAGUGGUAAGGCGGGAUCGCUUUGACAAUGGCUUAGGUCUAACCAAAAACAUUGCUUGCGGCGGUAACGUCCACCACGUAUAUCUUCAAACUUUGACCUCAAAUCAGGUAGGACUACCCGCUGAACUUAAGCAUAUCAAAAGCCGGAGGAA